UUGCAAAGGUAGCAUAAUAAUAAGUUUAUUAAUUGUAAAAUUGUAUGAACGAAGUUAUAAAGAUUAUUUUGUCUUUAUUUUAAUUUUUGAAUUUUAUUUUUUUAUGAAAAAGUUAAAAUUUUUUAAUAAGACGAGAAGACCCUAUAAAUCUUUAUAUUUUAAUAAGUUUAUUUGAGUUAAAAUUUGUUAAAAUUUUGUUGGGGCGAUGGGUGAAAAAUAAAACUUUACUUGUAUAAAUGUUUUAUAAAAAUAAGAAAUUUUUUUGAUCCUUUUUGAAGAUUAAAAGAAUAAGUUACUUUAGGGAUAACAGCGUAAUUGUUU
rnacentral:rRNA from 1 species